GACUAAGAAUUAAUUUAUUUACUAACUAAUCCUAAUUUAGUUAGGAUUAAAUCAGAUUUAAAUUAGAUUUAAAUUAGCAAACAAAUGAAUCUUAGUUAGACUAGGAUUUCUCCUUGGUGCCACCUCUCUCCUCAUGGUUAUACCCAAUGCCAAAUUUGAUUUGGUAUAUGGUUAGAUUAGCUCAAGCACCUCCAUGCCACCUCUUUUAUGUCCAUUUUUGGUUGAGAUUAAAUCUGAUUUGAUCUGAUUUUGAUUAGAUCAAAAUAGGACUCCCAGCUU
rnacentral:lncRNA from 1 species